rnacentral:rRNA from 1 species
UUAUAGUGUGAUCCUGGCUGAUCAAACGCUAGCGGGAGGCUUAACACAUGCAAGUCGAGGGGUAACAUUGGAGCUUGCUUCAGAUGACGACCGGCGCACGGGUGAGUAACGCGUAUGCAACCUACCUCAAACAGGGGAAUAGCUCAGGGAAACCUGGAUUAAUACCCCAUAAUAUUUAGAUUUGGCAUCAGAUUUAAAUUAAAACUCCGGUGGUUUGAGAUGGGCAUGCGUGACAUUAGCUAGUUGGUAAGGUAAUGGCUUACCAAGGCUACGAUGUCUAGGGGUUCUGAGAGGAUGAUCCCCCACACUGGUACUGAGACACGGACCAGACUCCUACGGGAGGCAGCAGUGAGGAAUAUUGGUCAAUGGGCGCAAGCCUGAACCAGCCAUCCCGCGUGUAGGAAGACUGCCCUAUGGGUUGUAAACUACUUUUAUAAAGGAAGAAACUCCCGCACGUGUGCGGGACUGACUGUACUAUCAGAAUAAGCACCGGCUAACUCCGUGCCAGCAGCCGCGGUAAUACGGAGGGUGCAAGCGUUAUCCGGAUUUAUUGGGUUUAAAGGGUGCGCAGGCGGGGCAAUAAGUCAGUGGUGAAAUCCUACGGCUCAACCGUAGAACUGCCAUUGAUACUGUUGCUCUUGAGUACGGUUGAGGUAGGCGGAAUGUGGCAUGUAGCGGUGAAAUGCAUAGAUAUGCCACAGAACACCGAUAGCGAAGGCAGCUUACCAAACCGUCACUGACGCUGAGGCACGAAAGCGUGGGGAGCGAACAGGAUUAGAUACCCUGGUAGUCCACGCUGUAAACGAUGAUCACUCGUUGUUGGCGAUACACUGUCAGCGACCAAGCGAAAGCGUUAAGUGAUCCACCUGGGGAGUACGUUCGCAAGAAUGAAACUCAAAGGAAUUGACGGGGGCCCGCACAAGCGGUGGAGCAUGUGGUUUAAUUCGAUGAUACGCGAGGAACCUUACCUGGGCUUAAAUGUUGGACGACAGUCCCCGAAAGGGGAUUUUUCUUCGGGGCGGAUUGCAAGGUGCUGCAUGGUUGUCGUCAGCUCGUGCCGUGAGGUGUCGGGUUAAGUCCCAUAACGAGCGCAACCCCUAUCCUUAGUUGCCAUCAGGUAAUGCUGGGGACUCUAAGGGAACUGCCUACGCAAGUAGUGAGGAAGGUGGGGAUGACGUCAAAUCAGCACGGCCCUUAUGUCCAGGGCUACACACGUGCUACAAUGGUCGGUACAGAGGGUCGCUACCUGGUGACAGGAUGCUAAUCUCAAAAACCGAUCUCAGUUCGGAUCGAAGUCUGCAACUCGACUUCGUGAAGUUGGAUUCGCUAGUAAUCGCAUAUCAGCAAUGGUGCGGUGAAUACGUUCCCGGGCCUUGUACACACCGCCCGUCAAGCCAUGGAAGCUGGGGGUACCUGAAGUCUGUGACCGCAAGGAGCGGCCUAGGGUAAAACUAGUAACUGGGGCUAAGUCGUAACAAGGUAACCAAGGGCGAA